rnacentral:lncRNA from 1 species
ACCGGUACACAUUGCUCCAGACCUGAUUUUGAAUCCGUUUCGAUUCUAUUUUGCGCCGAUCGAUGCCAAAACCCUUCUAAUACUUCUAGAACUCAUUUUUAACCCUCCCAACAGUGUUGGUAGGUUAAUUGGAACUCGCCCAAUUAAUCCAUUCGCGCACUUUAGUCAGUUUGCCUAAAGUUCGUCAUUUUCUAUCUAUAUUUCAAUACGUUACACCACCUAUCGCCAAAUCCCUCGAUAGCUUGCUCGAGGCGAAACCUUUUUCGCGAUCCCG